UGUUAUCAAUAACUCUUUAGAUAUAAAAGGCGAUAUCUAUGAUUUACAUUAUUUAUGUGAUGCAAUGGAUCUAUACUAUAUUUUUCUUUUGAUGUGAAGUAAUAUAUAAAUAUUACUUAAUAUAUAAAUACUUCUUCAGGUUUAUGCAAGCACUAAAAUAAAUACGAAACAAGACGUUUAAAAAUCUAGGUGGCAUUUUUUAAAAUUUACUCGCAUUUGCAUUAUUAUUUGUUAUACUACACGAAUGUAGGUAUUUGAAAAACAUGUUAAAAUCUUAAGUUAAUCAUUGGUGUAUAAAUUUCUUUUUAACUGAUUAAGUUCUUACGUUCUCUUAUGUGGAAGUUUACGCAUAGUGACAAAUAUACAAAAUGCAAAAAGCAUCAUUAGUGGGUGACAGAUUGGAACUGGCAGCGACAGAAUAACACAUUGGAUUACACAAGAAACUGGAACAGGAGUAUAGUAUAGUGUGUUAAAAUGUGCUAGCAAUAAUAUACUCGACGCUCAAAUUGAAAGAAAUGUACUUACAAUUAGAACAAAAAUAAAAAAGAUUUGGGUUUA